rnacentral:rRNA from 1 species
GAUGAACGCUGGCGGCGUGCCUAAUACACGCAAGUCGAGCGAACAGACGAGGAGCUUGCUCCUCUGACGUUAGCGGCGGACGGGUGAGUAACACGUGGAUAACCUACCUAUAAGACUGGGAUAACUUCGGGAAACCGGAGCUAAUACCGGAUAAUAUAUUGAACCGCAUGGUUCAAUAGUGAAAGACGGUUUUGCUGUCACUUAUAGAUGGAUCCGCGCCGCAUUAGCUAGUUGGUAAGGUAACGGCUUACCAAGGCAACGAUGCGUAGCCGACCUGAGAGGGUGAUCGGCCACACUGGAACUGAGACACGGUCCAGACUCCUACGGGAGGCAGCAGUAGGGAAUCUUCCGCAAUGGGCGAAAGCCUGACGGAGCAACGCCGCGUGAGUGAUGAAGGUCUUCGGAUCGUAAAACUCUUUUAUUAGGGAAGAACAAAUGUGUAAGUAACUAUGCACGUCUUGACGGUACCUAAUCAGAAAGCCACGGCUAACUACGUG